AUUGAACGCUGGCGGCAGGCCUAACACAUGCAAGUCGAACGAGUGGCGGACGGGUGAGUAAUGUCUGGGAAACUGCCUGAUGGAGGGGGAUAACUACUGGAAACGGUAGCUAAUACCGCAUACCAUCAGAUGUGCCCCGCUGGGAUUAGCUAGUAGGUGCGGUAACGGCUCACCUAGGCGACGAUCCCUAGCUGGUCUGAGAGGAUGACCAUGCACACUGGGACUGAGACACGGUCCAGACUCGUACGGGAGGCAGCAGGGGGGAAUAUUGCACAAUGGGCGCAAGCCUGAUGCAGCCAUGCCGCGUGUAUGAAGAAGGCCUUCGGGUUGUAAAGUACUUUCAGCGGGGAGGCGUUACCCGCAGAAGAAGAACCGGCUAACUCCGUGCCAGCAGCAGCGGUAAUAG
rnacentral:rRNA from 1 species